AGAAAGCACUUCGGUGCGAGUACAGCGGCGGACGGGUGAGUAACGCGUAGGAAUCUACCCGGUAGUGGGGGACAACUUGUGGAAACGCAAGCUAACACCGCAUACGCCCCAAGGGGGAAAGCGGGGGAUCUUCGGACCUCGCGCUAUCGGAUGAGCCUGCGUAGGAUUAGCUAGUUGGUGGGGUAAAGGCUCACCAAGGCGACGAUCCUUAGCUGGUCUGAGAGGAUGAUCAGCCACACUGGGACUGAGACACGGCCCAGACUCCUACGGGAGGCAGCAGUGGGGAAUAUUGCGCAAUGGGGGCAACCCUGACGCAGCCAUGCCGCGUGUGUGAAGAAGGCCUUAGGGUUGUAAAGCACUUUCAAUUGGGAAGAAAAGUUGCAGGUUAAUAACCUGCAGCCCUGACAUUACCUUUAGAAGAAGCACCGGCUAACUCCGUGCCAGCAGCCGCGGUAAUACGGAGGGUGCGAGCGUUAAUCGGAAUUACUGGG
rnacentral:rRNA from 1 species